CGAAUACAUUAGCAUGGGAUAAUGGAAUAGGACCCUGUCCUCCUAUUUUCAGUUGGUUUUGGCAGCGCGAGGACUAGGGUAAUGAUUAAUAGGGAUAGUUGGGGGCAUUAAUAUUUAAUUGUCAGAGGUGAAAUUCUUGGAUUUAUGAAAGAUUAACUUCUGCGAAAGCAUCUGCCAAGGAUGUUUUCAUUAAUCAUGAACGAAAGUUAGGGGAUCGAAGACGAUCAGAUACCGUCGUAGUCUUAACCAUAAACGAUGCCGACCAGCGAUUAGGAGACGUUGAAUACAAAACACCACCAUCGGUUGCGGUCGUCCUUGGCGUCUCGGUUUCGGCCGGGGCGCGGGGACGGUUUAGCCCGGUGGCACCGGUGAAUGACUCCCCUAGCAGCUUGUGA
rnacentral:rRNA from 1 species